rnacentral:SRP_RNA from 1 species
UCGUGCUAGGUGGGGAGCUAGCGGUGCCCUGUACUCGCAAUCCGCUACAGCGAGGCUGAACUCCCGUUCGAGGCUUGUUUCUUGUGGGGCUGCCUUCACUAAGUGGUGUUGAAGACCGGGUCCUGCGCGGCAGAAAGCUAUGAAUCCCGUCAGGUCCGGAAGGAAGCAUCGGUAAAUAGUGUAUCUGGGUGCCGCAGGGUUGCCUGGUCGGAGCUGGCUGGUGGUGGCUAGCUGCAAGGCCAUGUCGACAGCGGGUGCACGA